rnacentral:lncRNA from 1 species
CGUCGUUUACCAUGUUGCAAGAAACGAUAUCAGAUAUGGUGUUUUAGUUGUUAGUUGCUAUGGUCAAAUGAGAAGGCAUCACUUCACUAGGUUCAAUUUCAGAUGAAAACAUGUCCACGGGUCUGCGUAGCAGUCUUCUCCACUUGCCUUAGGUAGCAACCAAAGUUUGUUUCCAGUUUUUAGAGAAAAAAUAAUUUGUUUUUGACCCCGAGAAAAAAAAUUGUGUGUUUCAACCUUAGCUGACACUAUAUAUAAUGCUAAAAUUGAAAGAAAAAAAAAAUGUUUUCGACUUGUCGCAAAAAAAAAUUGUCCAGAAAAAAAUCCAUAGCCCUUCUCUCCCCCCCUCCCCCCUCCCCCGAAAAUCAAAUGCAAAUGGUUGCUGCCUUGGCCGAUGACGCCGACUUUUUUUAAGAACACAAGUUAACUUGAAUGAAAGACCAGGC